rnacentral:misc_RNA from 1 species
GUAGGUGAACCUGCGGAGGGAUCAUUAACACGUAUCCACGUAUCAACCAAAACGCGAACUUGGAACCAUGAUGAAUCUGAAUAAGAUUCAAAGUGAUUCUAAUUCUCCCUGAAUCUGGAAACUGCAUUCAAAGACUUCUGUGAUGGGUAUCCUUAUGCUUGCAUAUUGGGUACGGUCUUUGAUUGCUCGAGGUUCGACCUCAAUGUUUUCUCCUUCAGGCUAUUUUUUACCAUUGCAGUACCAACCCCUUUCACACUUCUAAUACCAAUUGACUAACCUUAUUUGACUAACGUCGAAUAUGAUAUUCUAACUAAAAGCACAACUCUUAGCAAUGGAUAUCUUGGUUCUC